UACGAAGGGUGCAAGCGUUAUUCGGAUUUAUUGGGCGUAAAGGGUGCGUAGGCGGUAUGUUAAGUCAACUGUUAAAUUUCCCAGCUUAACUGGGAGCAAGCGGUAGAUACUGGCACACUAGAGGAUGGAAGAGAGAAGUGGAAUUCUCGGAGUAGCGGUAAAAUGCGUAGAUCUCGAGAGGAACACCAAUGGCGAAGGCAGCUUCUUGGUCCAUACCUGACGCUGAGGCACGAAAGCGUGGGGAGCAAACAGG
rnacentral:rRNA from 1 species